AUCGACAGAAGGUCGCUAUGUGUCCUCUGAAACGUUGAGUCCGACUGACUCGAAUAUGAUGGUUGUGAGGGAACAAACACCGUCGGAAGCGCUUGCAAUAGUCCCGAUCCAGGUUUUUGUGCCGGCAUCCCAAACAACCCCUGAGACAGAUUUCGAACCAACCCCUAUGCUACGGAUUGAAGGGACUACAGAAAAGUAAGAAAUAGUAUUGGGUGUAUAUUUGUUUAGGGUUUGGGUGUAUAUUUGCAUACAGUUUGGGUGUAUAUUGUUCCUGAUCAAUUUUUUCUUUACGCCAUGAUUAAUUUUGUGUUACUGUGCAGCACUCCUGAAUCCCCCAAGAAACUUCAAGAAACCACACCCACGCUUCCCCCAGCUCCAACUAAAAUGUAAGUUCAUCAGAC